GAAAGAAAAAAAAAAAAAAAAGAAAAGAAAAGAGAAGAAAUUUUUUUUAAAAAAAGUAAAAAAGAAAAGAAACAUUACAGCUUUAAACUUUUCCCAGCCAGAAUCCACCUAAUUGCAUCAAGAUCUCUUGCCAGGAGCCAUAACCCCUUCCCCACCUGUUUUCCCUUCUUUUUUUUUUGUGGCUUAAAAUUGCAUUUUAGGAGGGUUGAUAUAAUGUUGUUCAUGUCAGCAAGUCUCCCUGCCCCACCCUCACCCCACCACCCUAUAUGGAAUUAUAGUUGGAAACCACACACACACAUAGAAAAUCUUUUAAGGUUUUUUUCUGCUAUUCUUCCUGACUAGAAGAGUUGACAAGACAUAGACACAUUAAGUUGCAUAAAAUACAGUAGCGUGAUCAGCCUAAAUGCAUCUCAUUUGCACUGUUUGUAGCCAGGGGUGGGGGCUUGUGUCACUCAUUGCCUCCCCCUCCUCCUUCCAGGGUAGAUCAGCCCGCUGGAAUUUCAGAGCAGGCCCCAAGGCAGCAGUCAUUUGGGAGGUGGAAGCCCCAGCCCACCCCAGGCCAGGGGUGGUGGGAGGGUGGUUAGGGAAUGUGUCUGCAGGUCUGACCUGAGGGCUUGAACCAGCUUUGGCAGACCUGGGCUCUGGGAGGCUUGGCGGGUGGGUGCCCGCAGCUGGAAGCUGGAGGUCUGUAGCGAUGCUUCUGAGCUUCUCUUGAGUUGAGUUCAAGAAAGGGGACACCAAGAAGUAGGGGAACAGUCACUGACUAUAUUUUAUAUCCAAGCCUGCCCUUUCCCAGAGUUGUGUUCUCACCAUCCACUUUGCCGGUGGACGGGAAACACUUCUGCCUAAUGGGUUUCUGCACCUGCUCCUAGCCCUGAACUCGGGCCCUGAGCUUCUCACUGCCGCCUGCUCUGCGCUGAGCCCCACUCCUGAGCCCGGGAGGUGCCGGAGCAGCGCCUCUCCCACCACUCCGAGAGGCCCAUGGGAGCUGCGCCGGAGCCUUCAAAACCCCGUAGGGGCGUGGGGGUGAAGUUGGGGAUCAUUCGGGUGAUUUUUUUCUUACUAUUUCCCAAUCCCUCUCCCGCGUUGAUGUCAACUCUCCCAGUCUACGCGUGUUGGGGCGCCAAUCUUCUCCCUCCAAUUCCUACCCACCAGCUGAAGGUCGGGUCCCAGGGUUGCCCCAGGGUUCAAUGGCGGCGGGGGGCGCCGGGUAGAGGGUCGGGAGGACCUGGAUCUUCGGGGACUAAAGGGGACCUCAGCAGGGUCGGAGUGCAUAGCCUUGGCCGUUGGGAAAUGCUCCACUAGCCACUGUGAGUGCCCAACAGCGUGUCGUGGGGGCGUCCGUUCUGCAGCUCGGGUGACUCAGACGCCCCGCCAGCCCCGCCAGCUCCCCGCUUCUCGAACGCUCUUCUGCUUGCCCAGCGGGGAGGCUUCAGGGCCUGCCUCCUCAGGCCAGAUUGUAGCCCGCGACCUUCCCGGGCCAACCAAGGGCGAGGCAUAUUGCCCAACAAGGCCACCGCCUGACUGAGCCUCCAGGGGAACAGCCAUUGCCAAAGCCCCGCGGGCCCAGGCGCGGCCACCUACCAGUACCCGCGCAGGCCUGUGGGAGCUCACGGGCAGAGGCCGAGAGGCUGGACUGCCAGCCCCACACCGCUGACAGCCGGGCACAUCUGCGGAGCCCGGGGGAACAAUCAGCGGGCUCGGCGUCCCGGGAGCUGGGGACACGCCUGCAAGGAUUGGGGCGAUGCUGUCCUGGAAGAACAGGCUUUAUGAAUGUGACCUCGGGUUGCUGCAGCGGCGCCAUACUGCUACUGAUGAUCGAGGGUAGCUCGCCUGCCACCGGCAACCAGUCCCAGUAGCCUUGGGUACCACUGCCCCCACCAUAUCACCGUUGUAAAGGAUGGACUCCUGCUGAGCCAAGGUGCAGCUCUAGGCAGGAUCCCUGAAGGAUGCUCUGGCACACAGAGGGUGGAGGGCUUUCCGCCUGCACACAGUCAUUUGGAGAAAAUCAAGUGAGCGCACCUCUCCCCACAGAGGAUUCUGUGUGUUAUGUAACAGACUCACACUGGGAUUCCUCAAGUUACCAUUUUGCCCCAAAUCAGCCAGGACUUGGUUUUCUGGCGGGGGUGUCAGGAUGAUGCAAAUGGAGGUGGAAGCUUCAUUCCCUGGGGGCUUUUAUUCCCCUUCUUCAAGCCCCAGUUCAAGGCCCAGGAACAAAGAGGAAAGGUAACUGAUCUCUCUUUUGGUCUUCCUCUCCCCUCACUUCCAGCCCCUCAAUUGCAGACCCUCCUCUUUGAUAAACAGAGGAAAGCCAGUGGGAUCAGGUACAUAUAUAAAUACUGCUGACCUCGGCCUCCUCUUCUCACUGAAAAGCGGAAGCCCAGCCCGUUUCAGGUGCAGGCUGCUCCCUGCUUUGAGUGUCCACCACUUCUACUCCCCCAGGCUGCAUGAGACUCAAGGCUACUCACUUAACAUCCCUCUCUUGUUAAAAAACAUUCAGGACAACUAUUAAAUAGUUCUUGGAAGAGUUUAAGACCUUCUUUCAGGAGCAAAACGUUUUUAAAGCCUUGCUUGGCAGAAAUCUUUAAGGCGUACAAAGUAGAAUCAGUAGGCUUGCCUGAGCGAUUUUGAAAUUUGAAAGAUUUCUCCCCAUGAAAUGUUAAUUUAAAAUAGUUUGUAGAUGUUAUUUUGUUGUACGAUGGCUUUUUCACUAUUGUCACCUAAAGAUUCUCAAGACCAAGCUACUAAGACAUUUCUUUUGAUUUGGUUAGUUUCUGGGUGAUACUAUACUUUCUGAUUAGACCUAUUUAAUUUAUUUUUUUUAACUCUGCAGGACAGUUUUCAACCUUGAAAAUGUAAGUGAAACACAGACUCACCCUCCCUCUGAGACCCUGUUAGGGGCAGAAAGGAACAAAUCUAGCUAGCCUCACUCACACCUCGAAGUUUCCCUGUCUGAACCUGGGUACAUGUGCAGUGUUCCAGCCAACUAAAUGGGCCUGCCUUAUGCCAAGAGGCAGUCCUGGAGGACAGAGCUAAUAUGUGAUCUCCCAGGAAGCUCAUCAGAACACCUCUUAUCCCUUUUCUUAAAAAAAAAAAAAAAUUAAAAAGUUUUUGGUUCCCUCU